UACGAAGGGGGCGAGCGUUGUUCGGAAUCACUGGGCGUAAAGGGCGCGUAGGCGGCCCUUCUUGUCGCGUGUGAAAGCCCCGGGCUCAACCUGGGAACGGCGCGCGAGACGGGGGGGCUGGAGUUCGGGAGAGGAGCGUGGAAUUCCCAGUGUAGAGGUGAAAUUCGUAGAUAUUGGGAAGAACACCGGUGGCGAAGGCGGCGCUCGUGGACCGGGACUGACGCUGAGGCGCGAAAGCGUGGGGAGCAAACAGG
rnacentral:rRNA from 1 species